UCGGCGACCGGCGCACGGGUGAGUAACGCGUAUGCAACUUACCUAUCAGAGGGGGAUAACCCGGCGAAAGUCGGACUAAUACCGCAUGAAGCAGGGGCCCCGCAUGGGGAUAUUUGCUAAAGAUUCAUCGCUGAUAGAUAGGCAUGCGUUCCAUUAGGCAGUUGGCGGGGUAACGGCCCACCAAACCGACGAUGGAUAGGGGUUCUGAGAGGAAGGUCCCCCACAUUGGUACUGAGACACGGACCAAACUCCUACGGGAGGCAGCAGUGAGGAAUAUUGGUCAAUGGCCGAGAGGCUGAACCAGCCAAGUCGCGUGAGGGAUGAAGGUUCUAUGGAUCGUAAACCUCUUUUAUAAGGGAAUAAAGUGCGGGACGUGUCCCGUUUUGUAUGUACCUUAUGAAUAAGGAUCGGCUAACUCCGUGCCAGCAGCCGCGGUAAUACGGAGGAUCCGAGCGUUAUCCGGAUUUAUUGGGUUUAAAGGGUGCGUAGGCGGCCUUUUAAGUCAGCGGUGAAAGUCUGUGGCUCAACCAUAGAAUUGCCGUUGAAACUGGGGGGCUUGAGUAUGUUUGAGGCAGGCGGAAUGCGUGGUGUAGCGGUGAAAUGCAUAGAUAUCACGCAGAACCCCGAUUGCGAAGGCAGCCUGCCAAGCCAUUACUGACGCUGAUGCACGAAAGCGUGGGGAUCAAACAGGAUUAGAUACCCUGGUAGUCCACGCAGUAAACGAUGAUCACUAGCUGUUUGCGAUACACUGUAAGCGGCACAGCGAAAGCGUUAAGUGAUCCACCUGGGGAGUACGCCGGCAACGGUGAAACUCAAAGGAAUUGACGGGGGCCCGCACAAGCGGAGGAACAUGUGGUUUAAUUCGAUGAUACGCGAGGAACCUUACCCGGGUUUGAACGCAUUCGGACCGAGGUGGAAACACCUUUUCUAGCAAUAGCCGUUUGCGAGGUGCUGCAUGGUUGUCGUCAGCUCGUGCCGUGAGGUGUCGGCUUAAGUGCCAUAACGAGCGCAACCCUUGCCACUAGUUACUAACAGGUAAAGCUGAGGACUCUGGUGGGACUGCCAGCGUAAGCUGCGAGGAAGGCGGGGAUGACGUCAAAUCAGCACGGCCCUUACAUCCGGGGCGACACACGUGUUACAAUGGCGUGGACAAAGGGAAGCCACCUGGCGACAGGGAGCGAAUCCCCAAACCACGUCUCAGUUCGGAUCGGAGUCUGCAACCCGACUCCGUGAAGCUGGAUUCGCUAGUAAUCGCGCAUCAGCCAUGGCGCGGUGAAUACGUUCCCGGGCCUUGUACACACCGCCCGUCAAGCCAUGGGAGCCGGGGGUACCUGAAGUCCGUAACCGCGAGGAUCGG
rnacentral:rRNA from 1 species